CUACACUUUACCAGUUUCGUUUCCUAUUACUUCUUCUCCUUCAAAAGCACCCAACGGCCCCUCUCGGGGGCCUCUUUCUUUCUUUAUACCCCAUAAGCUUUCUUCAAGAACUGCUUUCUUUAUUUUGUCACUGAACAGAGCUUCUUCUUCUUCUUUACGCAAUAACCAAUUCAAAUUAUAAUGUUAAUGGUGGUGAUGCAAAGUGAUCCUUGCUCUCCAUUAAAGAGCAAGAACACAACUUUCCCUCCAAUCCCAAAGCGAGGCAGAGUCAAAGCUCAGAUUUUUGAGAGCUUCGCCAAGGCUGUUGUUGCUGUGGCGUCUAAGGCAGGAGGAACUCUGAAAAGGAACGGCGAGGGAGACGGCGGAGACAGCGGAUGUCCUUCCCCUGCAACCCCACCAUCAAGCCCUCUUAAAUCCUAUCCAUUUUAAUUAAGCCCUUGUUUUGAUAUAUGUGUCCCCUGUGAAACUCAUACUUCAGCUAGUUUUAGCAGGGAUUAUAUAUAUGUGCUUGUGUAGAUUUUGUAAGUUGGUGUAUUUGUUAUUGUGGUUUGGUUUAUUUUAGAGGCUUUUUUUCUCUAGAUAAGCCAUAGUUUCCAUAUUGUCAUUUCUGAAGCUUUAAAGAAGAGAUGAUAAAAUAUAGGUUUAUGUGUUUGUAUUUAUGGUUUCUUAUUUGUUUGCUUUCUGUAAUUUUUAAAAUUUAGGUCUUGUAUUUUGUUAAAUAUAAUGGCAAUGGAUUUUAUGUUUGCCUUUACA